UGUUUCCGUUAAUUUACACCCAAAUUUCAACAUGAUUUACCUGUUAUUUGUAAUAACUGCAGCUUACUGUAAAUUUUUAGGGAAUACAUGUUAAAUAACGCCUCAUGUAUGUUAUUUAACACCUCAUUGCUAAAUAACAUUCAUUUUUGUUAUUUAACAGCACAACCGAACAUUCAAAGAUGGCGGCCAGAGUUAGAUGGUCUGGUAUGGUUUUGUAAGUUGCAAAACAAUGACUAAUUCAAUAUUGUCGAUGUUGCAUACUAAGAAAUUAAAUAUUGUAUGCAUUCACUGAAUGAAGGUUAGACAGAACACCACGUGAUUUCUGUACUGCAAAUGUUAUAAAGAAUCAUCUUGCUUUUAUUACCAUAAUCAUACCUCCCGAUUUUAAACGAGACACCUAACAUUUAAUUGACUAACUGCGCUCCAAAUCUGUGUGUGUAGAUGUGUGUGUGUGUGUGUCUUUCUGAUCACGUUCGCGCCACUUUCUGAAAUAACAGGUUCAUACAGUAUUUUUUGCAUUCUGGCAAAGAGCGAGUAAGAAGGCAUUUGAACCUGCAACGCAACGGACACACGGCCAUUCCAUGUCGGAGAAUCGCUCUGGUUACAUCGAGGAAAACCACAACAAUCCGAUGCAGAUGCAGGGCACUAUCCCUGAUCACACUGCUGAUCAAGAAGAUCUCACUGCAUGUAUCCCUCAGAACCAGAUGUCUCAGGACUUGAUAUGCCAGUGCAGCUGACCUUGAGAGUUCACUAGCUUUACCUGCAACGCCUCGUCUGAUACUUCUUGGAGAAACAGGAAACCACUUCCAACGCUGGAUGCUCAGCAUUGAGGGCCAGAUUGUGGGCGAAGGGAUCCAGUCGACCUUUGUGACAGGGCUGGCGUCUUUUUUCUCCGGUUUUUAUAUCUUCAACCUACAGUACCAAGAGGAGGCAGCGUGCACACUUGAAUUCAUCCAGAGACGCUUUGUGGGUAUAAACCCAGAAAAGGGGACAAAGGCUGCAAAGGGGAAAAAAAGAACGGUAAAUUCACACAUCGCCAGCCUCUUGCGCAGACUGAUGGACUUCCAGUGGGAUUUCAUUUCAAAAAGUGGAGGUGUGUUCAGGUGCGUUCUGGGCAAUGUAGUGUAUUUUUCUGUGAUUGAUCCGAUCUAUAUGUGCCUACAUUUGUAAGUAUUUAACUUUCAGUGUUUCUAUUACAAUAAAAAAGUUAAUUUGAACAUGGAACUAUUCGUUUUCUUUCACUUAAGUGUUAUGUGAUGUAUUAUGCCUAUUCUUAUAAUAACUCAAGCUAGAAAUAUGUAUAUUACAAUCAAUGGUACACAUUACUAUGCUAAAAUAAUAAUCAAUACAUUUUAAAAGCAAUAUUUAAAGGAAACUAAAUAAAUGGUGAUUUAACAUGAAAAUAAUGGUAACCCUGCUGCCAGUAAAGUCCUGUUAAAAAACAUUACGGGUGUGCACUGUAAAAAAACAUUAACAGGAAUAAACCGUUAAA